UAAAACAAGUUCGGAGAGGUCCGAAAGUCACUGUCCCUAUCUACUAUCUAGCGAAACCACAGCCAAGGGAACGGGCUUGGAAUAAUUAGCGGGGAAAGAAGACCCUUUUGAGCUUGACUCUAAUCUGGCAGUGUAAGGAGACAUAAGAGGUGUAGAAUAAGUGGGAGAUAUUAGACCUCGGUUUGGUAUCGUCAAUGAAAUACCACUACUCUUAUUGUUUCCUUACUUACUUGAUUAAAUGGAACGUGUAUCAUUUCCUAGCCAUUAUACGGAUAUAUUUAUUAUAUCUUAUGGUAUUGGGUUUUGAUGCAAGCUUCUUGAUCAAAGUAUCACGAGUUUGUUAUAUAAUCGCAAACAAAUUCUUUAAUAAAACGAUGCAUUUAUGUAUUUUUGAUUUGAAAAUUUGGUAUAACUCCAAUUACUCAGGUAUGAUCCAAUUCAAGGACAUUGCCAGGUAGGGAGUUUGACUGGGGCGGUACAUCUCUCAAAUAAUAACGGAGGUGUCCCAAGGCCAGCUCAGUGCGGACAGAAACCACACAUAGAGCAAAAGGGCAAAUGCUGACUUGAUCUCGGUGUUCAGUACACACAGGGACAGCAAAAGCUCGGCCUAUCGAUCCUUUUGGUUUAAAGAGUUUUUAACAAGAGGUGUCAGAAAAGUUACCAUAGGGAUAACUGGCUUGUGGCGGCCAAGCGUUCAUAGCGACGUCGCUUUUUGAUCCUUCGAUGUCGGCUCUUCCUAUCAUUGUGAAGCAAAAUUCACCAAGCGUUGGAUUGUUCACCCAUGCAAGGGAACGUGAGCUGGGUUUAGACCGUCGUGAGACAGGUUAGUUUUACCCUACUAAUGACAAAACGUUGUUGCGACAGCAUUCCUGCGUAGUACGAGAGGAACCGCAGGUACGGACCAAUGGCACAAUACUUGUUCGAGCGAACAGUGGUAUGACGCUACGUCCGUUGGAUUAUGCCUGAACGCCUCUAAGGUCGUAUCCGUGCUGGACUGCAAUGAUAAAUAAGGGGCAAUUUGCAUUGUAUGGCUUCUAAACCAUUUAAAGUUUAUAAUUUAUUUUAUAAACGACAAUGGAUGUGAUGCCAAUGUAAUUUGUAACAUAGUAAAUUAGGAGGAUCUUCGAUCACCUGAUGCCGCGCUAGUUACAUAUAAAAGCAUUAUUUAAUACAAUGACAAAGCCUAGAAUCAAUUGUAAACGACUUUUGUAACAGGCAAGGUGUUGUAAGUGGUUGAGCAGCUGCCAUACUGCGAUCCACUGAAGCUUAUCCUUUGCUUGAUGAUUC
rfam:Drosophila sechellia strain Rob3c scaffold_204 genomic scaffold, whole genome shotgun sequence.